UGUUGGAAAAUUAUAUAGAAUUUUGUGCACUAGGAUUUUCAGUUGGUUGAAAUUUAUUUCUGCAGAGGACUGCUGAGGUGGUCAUUUUAGAUGUUAUCCCCAAGCCUCUCAAGGUCGUUAGGGCUCCUGAGAUCAUUUCCUGCACUUGCUAGCUGUCUCCGGUCCUGUUCAGGCCUCCAGUGCCUGCUUUUAUUUAUCGAGUUUCAUCUUCGAUCCAAAAAGUCAUCAGAUUGAUGGAGUGCUGGCGGUCAACCCUUGUGUAGCCUAAGGGCAUUCUGGAGGAAUAUUUUCCCACCAUGAAUUUCUUCUGGUGGACUAUGUGGAGGGAAGGGUCGUCAGAGCUGAGAAAAUGAGCUCUCUCAAGUUCCAGCUGGUAAGGAAAUCAGAAUAGUAAUUGUCCACAUUUAAUAGGUUAGACCACAUUCACUUUUCUAAUGAUGUCUUGUUUUCCUUUUCAGCUGACUGGGAAUUAAAACUAGAACUAUAACUAUAAUUAAAAUUACAAUUAGGGGGCCGGUUUGUCCGGCAACUCAAAUUUUACCACAAGCGUCGAAUGGUGCGAUAGCUUGUUUCCGGGGUCGAGCCUAUUCCAGGUGAAGAAGAUGCUCUCAACUUGCUGAUGCGUCGGUUGCGGUGGUGCUUCAUUGUGGCACAGCGCCUGGGGCGACCAGCUUCAGUUUGCAGAAGGAGGGCUUACACAUUGUAUUAGCGGUAACUUCUGGCUUGAAGGUUGGUGUCAUUUUUCUUUCUUCCUGGAAGGCAAGAUUAUUUAGUUUAGUUAAGAAGAAUUCCUAUUAUCUAUGUUGGCACUGAUAACUAGGGACUAACAGAACUUAGGAACGCUUGUAAAUCAUUUAGAAUUUGAACUAUUGCACGGCCCAGCUCUACCGUCUGGCAAUACAUAUUAAGGUGCUAGCUUAAGCUUAGAAUAAUGAUUUACUGGCUAUAACUUGCUUUGUGUCCGUUAGACAAUAAAAUAGUGUGUCACAA